rnacentral:lncRNA from 1 species
UUGUGUUUUGUGUUGUAUGUCUGUAUGUGCAUAUAUCCAUAUUUCAUAUAUGAGGAGCACUCAUGAAAAAAUGGAUCCGAUUUUUUUUAAUUCACGUGAUUUAAAUGGUUUAAUUUAAAUUAGGUAAACAGCUGUUAAGGAUUGUUUUUAAAGGAGGUUAACAGAUCUGUUUGUUUACUUUCACCUUUCCUUUUCAUUAUAUUUAAUAAUUCUGUUCAGAAUAAUGUCUCUUUAGCAUCAUUGCCAGAAUUCCUAUCUUCAUCCCAGUGCUGGUGAAGACAAAGAUAAAACCAAACUACAGCUUCUAUGAUAGCUAUCACAGUAAACUGUAUAAACUGAUGCAUCAAUGAAUAUAACUCAACAAGUAAUGCUGAAUCAAGGAGUCGAUUUACUUUGGGAGGAAAUGGACAUAUUGAUAGAUUCCUCCGCUUUGAACUGCUUGCAGAACUUGCCUGGACUAUGUAUCACUUGUAUGCAUUGUGAACUAUCGUUUGAUGCAGUGAAUUGUUGUAGUGCUGGCAUAUCUUUGCUGAUGGUGUCACCAGUGAUGCAAUUUUUCCAAAGGAGCCGUCAAUUGGCUUGGUGUCGUGGCAUUUCUGUAUCCUCCUCCCUUCUGCUAGUGAUGGCCAAAUUUGGGGGCCAACAGAGGUGAGGCAAAGAACCUCACCCCCCCACUGGUGCAUAGGCCUAUCCACAAGUAUGGCUAUAUGCUGGACCGGUAGUCAGUGAUGCGUAUGAUCCAAUUGCAGUGGUAUCAACCUAAGACAGGAGGCUGACGCCUAGAGGUCAGUUCAUCCCAUCACGGGAAAGAACCGUAUGUUGAAUUGGACAACCUAACAGGCACGGUCCCUAAGCCACAUUGCUUGUUGUUUAAUUAAUCAGAAGGGGGGAGAUGCUGAGAGCCAUAGCUAAGUAGGAAUGACACAUGGCAAUUUCCCUGUCAGCCUACCCCAUGUUGCUUAGAGGAAGGACUCUCCAUUGUGGAAAUGGGCUUGUCUUGGACCCAGGUCAUUUGCAGUGACAUUGCAUGAGAAAUGUGACCCUGCUCAAGGACCAGGGUGGAUCCGGGUUUAGGGAGGAUCCUGCUGGAUUAGGGUGGGUCCAGGUUUAGGGUGUAUCCUGCUGGGAAUAGGGAGUAUCCCACUCCUUGGGUUUAGGGCGGUUCCAGGUUUAAGGUGGACCCUGCUGGGAAUAGGGCGUAUCCUGCUGCCUCAGGCACCCCCUGCUCCUUGAGUUCCUGUUGAGUUCUCCCGGGAUUCAGAGAGUAUUUUGGGAUGCAGAGCCCAGUGGAAGUGUGGAUUUUCCCAGAAUGUGCGUGUAGAGUGCGGGUGAGAGUUGGAGAAUAAAGAAUUGCUGUUUGAAUCUACAAGGCUGUGA